AGUAACACAUGAUCAACUUAACCUAUUGAGAAAGAUAACCUCGGGAAACUGAGGAUAAUAUUUCAUAGUUGAAUUGGCUUGGAAAAGUUUUUCAACAAAAGGGAUAGGGAAAAUGGUCUUUAUCCGCUAUAGGAUAGGAUCGUGUUCGAUUAUGGUAGUUGGUGAGGUAAAGGCUCACCAAGCCGAUAAUCGAUAGGGGCCGUGAGAGCGGGAGCCCCGAGAUGGGUACUGAGACAACGACCCAGGCCUUACGAGGCGCAGCAGGUACGAAACCUCCACAAUACACGAAAGUGUGAUGGGGUUACCCAAAGUGUUCAUUAUUGAACUGUGGUAGGAGAGUAAUGUCCCCUACUAGAAAGGAGAGGGCAAGGCUGGUGCCAGCCGCCGCGGUAAAACCAGCUCUUCAAGUGGUCGGGAUAAUUAUUGGGCUUAAAGUGUCCGUAGCCGGUUUAGUAAGUUCUUGGUAAAAUCGGGUAGCUUAACUAUCUGUAUGCUAGGAAUACUGCUAUACUAGAGGGCGGGAGAGGUCUGAGGUACUUCAGGGGUAGGGGUGAAAUCUUAUAAUCCUUGUAGGACCACCAGUGGCGAAGGCGUCAGACU
rnacentral:rRNA from 1 species